rnacentral:rRNA from 1 species
ACACGGGGGGAGCAAACGUUGUUCGGAUUCAUUGGGCGUAAAGAGCUCGUAGGCGGCUUCGUAAGUCAGAGGUGAAAGACCACGGCUCAACCGUGGAACCGCCUUUGAAACUACGAAGCUUGAGGCCCGGAGAGGAAAGCGGAAUUCCUGGAGUAGCGGUGAAAUGCGUAGAUAUCAGGAGGAACACCAGUGGCGAAGGCGGCUUUCUGGACGGGUACUGACGCUGAGGAGCGAAAGCUAGGGGAGCAAACAGGAUUAGAAACCCCAGUAGUCC